GUAUAUGUAAGGUGGGAGGAGUUGGAUCUGGAUCCACGCCCCCUGGAUCUUGUGUUCUGCGGUGAGGACCAUCUCUGGUUUUUCCGUGAUAGUUCUCUCCCCAAACGUCUUUACUCCUUUAAAAUGUGUGCAGCGUCUUCAUGGAAAUGCCACUACUGUGUGCUUUUAAGGAAGUGAAGUACAGCAGCAGCUGGUUAGUGCUGUCGAGGCAGUGCGCACUACAGAGUGAACACUGAUCGCCGCGGAUACAGUGUGACCGGAGAAGCGCGGGUUCAAACCUUGUCCGGUUGCAGAUGGAAAAAGCAGCAGCACAGACGGAAGGCGAGAGAAUAACGCUGAACACAGUGAAAGAGUCAAGAGCCCCCUGCUGUCACCCAGCCUGCGCCAUCGGCUACAAUGAGUGCCAAAUCGACCCUCAACAAGGCGAUCUUUAUUCCCAACGAUGAGAGGCUGCUGGCAGCCGUGCAGGUGAAGAGGAGGACGAAGAAAAAGAUCCCGUUUUUAGCUACCGGAGGCCCUGGUGACUACACCACAUUCAUUUGCU